rnacentral:rRNA from 1 species
AAAUUGAAGAGUUUGAUCAUGGCUCAGAUUGAACGCUGGCGGCAGGCCUAACACAUGCAAGUCGAACGGUAACAGGAAGCAGCUUGCUGUUUCGCUGACGAGUGGCGGACGGGUGAGUAAUGUCUGGGAAACUGCCUGAUGGAGGGGGAUAACUACUGGAAACGGUAGCUAAUACCGCAUAACGUCGCAAGACCAAAGAGGGGGACCUUCGGGCCUCUUGCCAUCGGAUGUGCCCAGAUGGGAUUAGCUAGUAGGUGGGGUAACGGCUCACCUAGGCGACGAUCCCUAGCUGGUCUGAGAGGAUGACCAGCCACACUGGAACUGAGACACGGUCCAGACUCCUACGGGAGGCAGCAGUGGGGAAUAUUGCACAAUGGGCGCAAGCCUGAUGCAGCCAUGCCGCGUGUAUGAAGAAGGCCUUCGGGUUGUAAAGUACUUUCAGCGGGGAGGAAGGGAGUAAAGUUAAUACCUUUGCUCAUUGACGUUACC